rnacentral:lncRNA from 1 species
AUAACAAGCAGGGCACAUGGGCAGCGACUACCCCCACUCACAGCCAAAGCAGCAAAUACCUGCAGACAGCAUCCUCCCCUGCCUGGACUCAGCCUGAAAACCACAUCCUAAGGCUGCCACGUAUUUACUUGUAAAAUACUAUGCUAAAACCAGAGUGCAAAAUUAUGUGUUGGGCAUUCAAAGCUAUGUGAGGAUGAGGAGCAUACUUCUGGAGCAUCAGCUGAAUUCCACGGUGGAUCCCUUCAUGAGUCCAGUCUCUGCUCUUCCUAGGCACAUGGCCAGGACCCAGAGAUUCCCUCGGAGCUUCCUGGUGCACCCUCACCCAGCUGUAGACUAGAAGGAACCCCUCUGCCAUUUUUGCCACCUCAUCCAUCCAAUUAAGCGGGCUCUCGGGGAUGAGGGAAAACGGGCUGUUUCCUUGACAGCAAAUACUCUGACUGAAACAAUUAGUUUGUCUAUUUUAAAACUGAAUUCCAAUGCUUCCAUGGCAACCAAAGUUAUUAAAAGAUGUAAAUUAAAGUGUUGCACAGGAAAGAUGGCUUGGCAUAGAAGGCGCUUGUUUUGGGGAAAGAACACAAAGAACUUGAAACCAAGGGCAUCCCCCUACCUGGACGUGUGCUGCGAUCAGCUGGUGCACUGAAACGGCUCCAGCCAUCCGACAGCUCCUCCCGUGCCCUUGGCUUCUACCACUGCCUCACAUCAGGGACACCUCUGUCCCUCACAUGCACGAGAGAGAGGAGGGGGUUUACACUUUCUGAAGCCCUUUGUGCAAAGAAAAAAUCCUAAGGAGGGUAGAGAGGCAGAACUGACUUCUGUGCUGGGCCUACUAUCUGCCUACUAACAGUUACGGUUGACAAGUAUCAAGUCUUCCUGUGCCCUGGGAAUUGUGCUAAGGGAUUUGCACGCAUCUUCUCACCAAAUGCUCCUACCAGAUGAGCUAUAAUCUCAGUUCAUCCCCAUUUCACAGACUGAGAAAUUCAGAUCCAGGCGGAUGAAGCAACUGAAGGAGCCAUGUAUCCAAUGAGAGAAAAUGAAGACAAGAGCCCACAUCUGUUUGACCGUAUUCCAUUUCCUGAAUUCAAGCCAGACACAAUGUUGGGUGAAUGGAUCAUUCCAUUUAACCCUCUUAGUCAUCCUAAAUGGCAAUAUGGUGUAGGAUCUAAAGCCCAGGCUCCAGUAUAAGACAGAUGUAGGGCUGAAGACCAGCACCUUCACUUUUUUUUUUUUUUUUUUUUUUUUCAAUACAGACUCUCUGUCUGUCACCCAGGCUAGAGUGCAGUGGUAUGAUCUCGGCUCACUGCAAUCUCCACCUCCUGGGUUCAAGCGAUUCUCCUGCUUCAGCCUCUGGAGUAGCUGAGAUUACAGGCACAAGCCACCACGCCCAGCUAAUUUUUCUAUUUUCAGUAGAGACAAAAUUUCACCAUGUUGGUCAGGCUGGUCUCAAACUCCUGACCUCGUGAUCUGCCCGCCUCAGCCUCCCAAAGUGGUGGGAUUACAGGCAUGAGCCACUGCGCCCAGCCUUCACUUCUUAGUUCUGGGACUUCAUGGCAAAAUCAUUAACUACCAGCACCUCCGUUUACUCAGCUGUGAAAUUAUCGCUAGCUUCACUACGUGGUGGGGAGGGUAAAGUCAGUCAACAUGAAAGAGGCACCUUGCCCAGUGUCUGCUAAGGAGAGAGCAUUACUAAUGCCUGUUAUAAUUAGAUAUUAUUAUCAUAGGUGAGGACAAGAGGCUUAAAGAGGUACAGUAUCGUACUUAAGCACAUACACCUGGGAUCUGAAGCCAGGUCUCAUCCCCAAGCUCAUAUCCUCCCUCCAUGACCAAGCAAAGAGUACAGUUUACCCAAGAUCUGGCAGUCUGUUCGUGGUGAAGCUGGAACACACGGAACUGCCAGUCAACACACCCCGUGUGUCAUGUCCACUUUGCUGCAUGUCAAAAGAUGAAGAGGAGAAGCUGGAGCUACAUCUCACACGCAUUGUGAUCAUCACAGAGGCUGUUUGCCCAGUCUUCGUCCUCUGCCAGAUCCUGUGCUCCAGGCCGCAUCCAGUCUCUCCUCUUUCCAGCCAUUCUGGGGUGAAUUCAUGUCUUUAAAAACCACUCGACUACAGGCUGUUGCGUCUGCUUUUGUCUUGCCAACACCUACAUCUCUCUCAGGCCUUGAUCAAAACAUUAGUUCCUCAAAGAGGCCUUCCCCAACCCCAGGACUAGGUGAGAUCCCUCUAGCAUGGGCUGCCACGGACAGGCGCUCCUCCACGUUGGCUUUUGGUUAUUUAUCCUCAGUGCACGAGGACAUGUGUGGAGUCUGCUUGUCCUGCAUCCUCAGUGCCCAAAAGUGUGACUGGCACAUAGUGGGUGCUAAAUACAUCCAAAAGAAUAUCAAUCAUUCUAUUAUAAAGGUACACACACAUGUAUGUUCAUUGCAGCACUAUUUCACAUAGUAAAGACAUGAAAUCAACCCAAAUGCCCAUCAAUGAUAGAACGGAUAAAGAAAAUGUGGCACACAGACACAUGGAAUACUAUGCAGCCAUAAAACAAAAUGAGAGCAUGUCUUUUGCAGGGACAUGGAACUGGAAGCCAUUAUCCUCAGCCAACUAACACAAGAAAAGAAAAGCAAACACCACGUGUUCUCACUUAUAAGGGGGAGCUGAAUGAUGAGAACACAUGGGGAGGAAUGGCACACACUGCCGGAGAGUGUGGGGAGGGAGAGCAUCAGGAGGAAUAGUUAAUGGAUGCUGGCCUUAUUACCUAGGUGAUGAGUUGAUCUGUGCAGCAAACCACCAUGGCACACAUUUACAAGCCUGCACAUCCUACACAUGGACCUCACAACUUAAAAGUUGAAGAAAAAUAAGAUAAAAUUUUAAGUAAAUGACUACGUAGUGACAUUUUUAUUGAAGAGCGUGUGGUGAUCAAUAUAUUAUUUGGCCAAAUCUUGACCAAUCUUGCUUAAUACUCCCAACAAAGGGAACCUCACAGCCCACAGCAGAGGAUGAAGAGAUCUUCCCAGUAUCUAGGAAGGUUUAUGAAGCUGAACUAGUCACCAUCCUCAGCUUCUAGAUAGGGCUGUGUACAUGCUAUUGUUUAUUCCUUCAUUCAGGUUUCUUUUAAUUCAACAACUUUUUUUUUUUUUUUUUUUUUUUUUUAGACUGAGUUUCGCUCUUGUCGCCCAGAUUGGAGUGCAGUGGCACGAUCGCAACCUCACCGCAACCUCCACCUCCCGGAUUCAAGCAAUUCUCCUGCCUCAGCCUUGUUGAGUAGCUGGGAUUACAGGCAUGUGCCACCACACCCUGCUGAUUUUGUAUUUUUAGUAGAGACGAGGUUUCCCCAUGUUGGUCAGGCUGGUCUUGAACUCCUGACCUCAGAUUAUCUGCCCAACUCAGUCUCCCAAAGUGCUGGGAUUACAGGCGUGAGCCACUGCGCCCGGCCUCAACAACUAUUUUUUUUAAGUGUUUGGCAACUAUGGUUUCAGUAUUGGAGGCUGGAACACAGCAGGACACUGUGACUUAGACUCUCAGGGAACUAUCAUAGAAUAAAACACUUUUAAGCAACAAUAAUAAUAAUGAGUAAAAUGAUCAUAAAUUGUGAUAAGUCAUUAAGAAAAAAAGCUUUGUAGAAUAAAGGAAGAUGCUCACUUUGGGAUGGAUAAUGAGGGGAGGCAACUGGAGAAAAGGUGGCCCACAGGAAGAAGAGGACCUGGCCAAGUGGAAAGCCAAUUAGGGACCAUUCCCGGCAGAGGAAACAAACUCUGCAAAGGCGCUGGGGCAGGAGGAACCUGGCACACCACAGUGGCUGAGAAAGUCACAAAGCUGGGGAAUGAGCAAGUGGAAAGUGGUCUGAGAGGAAGGUGGUGAGGCCAGCAGGAACACAAUCUUGCAGGAGGGCAGUCUUGCAGGAAGGCUGUCUUGCAGGAAUGCAGUCUUAUAGGAAGACAGUAUUGCAGGAACACAGUCUGGCAGGACCUUGCUCGUCUUGUAGAAGUUUUGAUGUGUGUGUGUGGUCCUUGCCCUGUUGUUCAGAAUAGUGGAAAUCUUCAUGCCAUCAUUUUAUCUGGUAUCCCUCAAAUUUUGCUGUAACUCAGCAGGUAUGCAAAAAAUCUCUCUCCUAAAAAGAGCACAAAGAACUAAGACUGCUCAGAAUUCUGGCACAACCAUUCGGUUGCGUGGUCUGACUCCUCGGGUGAACCAAUCCCUGUCUCUGGCCCUACAUUUUCACUUCUGUAAAAAACAGGAGAAAGGAGGCCAGGUAUGGUGGCUCACAUCUGUAAUUCCAGCACUUUCAGAGGCUGAGGCGGGUGGAUCACUUGAGUUCAGGAGUUCAAGGCCAGCCUGGCCAACUUGGUGAAACCUCAUCUCUACUUAAAAGAAAAAAAAAUUAUCCAGGCGCAUUGGGGAGUGCCUGUAAUCCCAGCUACUCAGGAGGCUAAGGCAGGAGAAUUGCUUGAACCCUGCAGGUGCAGGUUGCACUUAGCUGAGAUUGCACCACUGCACUCCAGCCUGGGCAACAGAGUGAGACUACAUCUCACAAAACAAACAAACAAAUAACACAGGAGAGAGAAAUACAAGGUAGAAGGAAAUCCAUUGAAGGCAGUACUAUGGUCUUUGGGGCAUCUGGAGAAAAGUUGCAUCAUUUCUAGUUGUUACAUUCACUGGGGCUGCUGUGGUGUCCAGGGCCAGGUACCACGAAUGCUGACUGUGCUGCCAUGCAUGGGGGAUUCCUGAAAACAGUGAAUCCCUGAAUGGACUAAUCUCUGAAGUCUUCUUAGGACUCCAAUUAUUUAUGACUCUAAAGCAAGUUACUCCUCACCUCCUUCUCCACGGGACAUUUGCCAAUGUCUGGAAACAUUUUUGGUUGUCACAACCUGGGGAGAAAAUGCUACCGACAUCUAGGGAGUAGAGGCCGGGAAUGAUGGUAAACAUUCUGCAAUGCACAGGACAGCUCCCCACAACAAUUGGCUGGCCCAGAAUGUCAAUAGUGCUGAGGCUGAGAAACUGGUCUAAGGGAAUGACUGGUCAUAGGACACAAUGAAUGAUUGAAGAGAUGAUUUGUUUGUUUGAGACAGAGUCUCACUCCGUUGCCCAGGCUAGAAUGCUGUGGCACAAUCUCGGCUCACUGCAACCUCCACCUCCCAGGUUCAAGUGAUUCCCCUGCCUCAGCCUCCCAAGUAGCUGGGAUUACAGGCAUCUGCCACUACACAGAGCUAAUUUUUGUAUUUUAAGUAGAGACAGGGUUUCCCCAUAUUGGCCAGGCUGGUCCAAAACUCCUGACCUCAGAUGAUCUGCCUGCUUUGGCCUCCCAAAGUGCUGAGAUGACAGGCGUGAGCCACCGCGCCCAGCCAAAGAGACGAUUUGAAUAAUGAGUCAUCCUCCAGCUCAGGGCCAAUGGUAUUCUUUCACAUAAGAAGACCAAAUGUUAGUUAUUGCUGUUUUAAUUAAAAUAGCCAUUGAGAACCUGAAUGAUCCAUGGAGAAAUGGUCUCCACAAUUUCAGAAGAAUUCAUACGCCAAAGUUAUUUCUGUCUAUUUCUACAGAACUCCUCUUGAGAUUGAUAAGGACAGAGGGAUACAGAGGCAUUAGUUUGCUUGUCCAAGAUCACUGAGGAGGCGCUGAGAAACCUGACAGGAAACCUGCAACAGCGUGGUAAACCAUAGCUGCCACCCUUACCUUGGAAGUGAGAAAGGAAAGGUUAAGAGGUCUGGGAGCUUCUCCAUUUGGAGAAUGCUCAUCUACAAGAGACCCGAAGACCAUCUGGCCUCAGAGACCAUGCAUUACAAAACAGAGUGUCAUUUUACAUGCAGGCUCCAAAAGCAUUGGUUCUAGGUUCCCCUACCUCUGGGCCAACAUUAGGUAUCCCUACAGCACCACCAGCUCUUUCCAGGAGAGUCUAAAGAGAUUCUGAGUGCACCAGACUAUGGCAAAAUGGGAGAAAGACACUCCAAGCUCGUGCCACACUUUGCCUCCAGAGCACCAAAGCCCCUCAUGGAGCCUCUUGAGAGCACCUUCUGGACCUCACUCAUCAACUACACCAUCUACCCACCAUCAGGAUAACUGCUUCUCAUUCCUCCACCUGUUACAACUCCAAUUUACAGAUCAGGCAACUGUGGCAAAAGUACAUUAAGAAACUUGCCUCAGAAUCUGAUUUAUUCGACUCCAACAUGGAAUGAGAGAACAUGGGGAUGAGCAAUCCACGGGAAAGGCUUAUGGCUACGUUGGAAAAAGUCAUACAUUACUUCUACCCACCUUCCAUUGGGCAGAACUCAGUCACAUGGUCUUAUCAACUACAAGGGAGGCUGGGAAAUGUAGUCCAGCUGUGUACCCUAGCCGGGGGCGGGGGUAGGGGGGUGGUGGGGAGCGGGGGGCGGGGCGGUGGAACAGAUGGAUUUUGGUGGACUCAGAGCUGUCUCUACCAUAGGCACCAGGCAAAGCCCUACAGAGCUGAAAUUAGUCUGGGAAGCCAGACUCAAAAGCACACUAUCAUUUUUUAAUCACCCACCUUAUCCACUCCAGAGUUACAAUAAAAGCUCUCAACUGUAUCACUGGACAACACUCUGCUGGGGAGGCAUGAAGGGAAGGUUCUCUAUGGGGGAGUUAUCAUCUGAGAUGCUGCUUAAAUGUAAAAUUGAGGUAUCAUUUACUGACAACUUGCUAUUUGCCAGGCACUGUGACCCAUGCUGUAAUUAAUAGCCUCUCUCAUUUAAUCCUCACCUUGAUAAUAUUAGGCAGCUACAGUGAUUAUCCCCAUCUUUCAGAUGAGAAGUUGAAAUGUUGAGAAGUGGUACACUAAGUCACAAGAGAACCAGAAAUCACAUCCAAGUCAAUGGGAUCUCAGCAUUCAGGUGCUUACCUCAAUGGCUUUUACCCAUCUAUCCUCAUUUCUUCCAAUCAACAAGAUAAUGUGUUGUCCCUAAAGGGAGAAAUAUCAGGGUUCCUACCUUCUCAUCCUAUUAUUUAAACCACAGCAUUAGGUCACUGGGAAAAGAAACCAUUUUCAUAAAACAUUCAGAAUGUGAAAUAUGAAAAAGACACAAAUCUACUCACAGGAAUGUUGCUAAUCAGAGUGAUUUUUUUUAAAAAAAUCACUGCUUAGCUGCCUAUAAGGCUUGUGUUCUACUCAGAACAAGAAAGAAAGAGUCGUUAGCUGAAGACACCAGGCUUAUUAGACAGAGCCUCAAGCAUGCUCUCAGCCUUGGGCCAACAGCCUUCAAAAUCCAAAAGCAGAGAGACAUGUGUGUUCAAAUUCCUCACUCAAAACAAUUAGAGCAGUCCAACGUUGGGACUGUGGGUUUGCCACCCGUAUCUGGGAUUGCAGGUUCCUCCGAGACAGUUUACUUACCAAUAUGGUAAGAUGCAAUGCUAAGAGAUGAAUAGUUAUGAGGCAGUUACCAAGUAGCUUUGUUUCAUACUUAGAGAAUGUCAGAAAAAGUAUUAUGAGGAAUAGGAUUGUAUUUUUGUUGUUAUUGUUUAUUGGUUUGUUUUCUCUUUCGGGGUAAGAGAGAUUUUUCUGAUUUUAACACACAUAUAUUUUUAAAAUAUAUCUGAAAUAUAAAUGUGUUUUAAAAUCAACAUGUACAUUUAAUGUGUUGCUUUUGUUCCACAUCCUCUCCUCCUGCAAAAAAAAAUUAUUAUUAAAGUGAAGCUGAGAUGUAUAACCCCUGAUAUCUAAGAAUGGAGGGAAUAUAACACACAGUACUGUAUGAUACAUGAUUCAAGUACCCAAUUUUCUCAUCCUGUGCCAAUAAACUGGCUGCUUGUACAGGCUUUGAGCAGGAGAUCCUAAGAGCAGGGUCUGGAUCAUUUAAAUUAAAAAUACACACCAAACUAAAGAAAACAAAAUGCCAACAACAACGUUCCUUUAAAAAAGAAUAGACUGCAUUUUAAAUAUUCAUUUAAAUGUACAGUAACAGACUAUUACACAUUUUCAUGUUUUCUCUUUGACAGUGUUUCAUUUGCAGACUCUCCAUGGCUUAUAAAAAUAUACCCAGAGUCCAAAUCUCCACAGCAUGAGAUUUUUCACAUUCUCUAAUUUGCAGUAAUGUAUUGUGUCAAAUUCCGUCUUUAACCCGCCCAGGGACAACACUGGCACAUGGGGCCUCUGCUGCACAAACUAACAUUUCAGUCCAGGCACCAUGGGGAGCUCUGGAGCAGGGCGUGAGCUUGGCUACUGUGAGAGUGUCCCCUCAAAUGUUGAACCCCUAGUUUCACUCUUGCUGUGGAUGGAGUUUCACCACAAAUCAUGAGCCCUCCAGGUCUCUGCUCAGUGCCUGUGGUAGAGGCAGCUCUGAGUUCAUCAAAAUUUGUUUCUUCCCCUUGGGUUCACAGCUGGACUACAUUUCCCAGGCACCCUUGCAGUUUAUGAGACCAAGUGACUGAGUUCUGGCCAAUGGGAGGGGGGCAAAAGUAAUGUAUGACUUUUCCAGGUGUUGCCCAUAAAUCUUUCCUGUAAAUUGCUCAUCCGCAGGCUUUGUUGUUCCAUCUUUGAGUUGAAUGAAGCCAACUCUAAGACAAGUUUCUUAAGGUGACUGCACCUCAGUUGCCCAAUCUGUAAAAUGGGAGUGAAAAAUUCACUUCCACCUCUGACAUAGCUACGAGGAACGGUAAACAAAGUGGAAAACAAGGCAGUAGAGGUUAGUGAUUUCACCUUCACAGUGUGUGGAAAGAGAAUGCCUGAAUUCAAAGGUUGGCUGUGUAGUCAUGUGACUUUGUUACUUAAUCUCUCUGAACCUAGUUCCUAUUCUGUAAAAUGUAAAUAACUAAUACUGACCUGAUAGGAAUGUGGUGGGGAAUAAUUGAGAUUAAGUAUGUAAAAUACUCAGAAGAUAAUAAACCUGGCACCAAGGGAGUGCUUAACAAGUCGUAGCUGCUACUAUUACUGCUGCUGCUACCACUGCUACUGAAGUAAUUAUUAUUAUUUUAGUACCUUAAAUGUGCUUAGAAGAGUGCCUGGUGCAUAGUAAGUAUUUAUAAAUGUUAACCAUCAUUAUUACUUUCUGCAAAAUACAUUUAACACUAGAAUCUAGCAGAAUUAAGUGAAAUAGUGCGUAUGAAGUCUUACUAUACCACCUAGCAUUGGGGGGAAAAUUUUAGCCUUUAUUAAUCCCUGAUCUUUUUUUAAAAAAACUUUUUUUUUGAGAUGGAGUCUUGCUCUGUCACCCAGGCUGGAGUGCAGCGGUACAAUUUUGACUCACAGCAACCUCCGCCUCCCAGGUUCAAAUGCUCCUCCCACCUCAGCCUCCCAAGUAGCUGGGAUUAUAAGCAUGUGCCACCACACCCAGCUAAUUUUUGUAUUUUUGGUACAGACAGUGUUUCAUCAUGUUGGCCAGGUUGGUCUCGAACUCUUCACCUCAAGUGAUCCACCUGCCUCAGCCUCCCAAAGUGCUGGGAUUACAGGUGUGAGCCACCACACCCAGACCCCUAAUACUCUUAAAUGCCACAUGUGCUGUAUUGGAAAAGAAGAAGCCACAGGUUAAAACCAGGCACUGGGCAGAGAUGCCAUCACUACCACAAGGUGGUAGAGACCAAGUGAAUACAUGCAACAAAAUCAAACAUAAUUUGAGCUUGGACUCAUCCAGUUCUAGACUUUCACCCAACUAGAAUCAGAAGACAGUUCAGGGCCAAGAUGGAGAGGAUUCUUCACUGGGGAUCCAAGAUUCUACAGGGGUUCCUAGAUAGAACACAGUGAGUCCGUGAACUUCGAUAGGAAAAAAUAAAACUUGAUUUUCACUAGCCUCUAACAAAUCUAGCACUCCCUUUAAAUAUAAGACACAACAUUGCAGUAGUAUUACAAGUACCUGUGACUUUGUCACCAAGAGAAAUCACAGAUAUUUUAGUCACAUUACAUUAUAAUUGUCACAGAUAUCUCAAAAUAUCAUAAUGCUUAUCGCUACUUCCAAAUUAUGGUAAUUACUAGAUUUGCUUGUUCAAUGUGUUAACAAAGAAAGCAAAGAUUUGACUGAAUCAUGUUUUAAUUUAUUUAAUAAAUGUAUUUCAAUAUAAA